rnacentral:rRNA from 1 species
AACGAACGCUGGCGGCAUGCCUAACACAUGCAAGUCGAACGAGACCUUCGGGUCUAGUGGCGCACGGGUGCGUAACGCGUGGGAACCUGCCCUUAGGUUCGGACUAACUCCCCGAAAGGGGUGCUAAUACCGGAUAAUGUCUUCGGACCAAAGAUUUAUCGCCUUUGGAUGGGCCCGCGUUGGAUUAGCUAGUUGGUAGGGUAAAAGCCUACCAAGGCGACGAUCCAUAGCUGGUCUGAGAGGAUGAUCAGCCACACUGGGACUGAGACACGGCCCAGACUCCUACGGGAGGCAGCAGUCGGGAAUAUUGGACAAUGGGCGAAAGCCUGAUCCAGCAAUGCCGCGUGAGUGAUGAAGGCCUUAGGGUUGUAAAGCUCUUUUACCCGGGAUGAUAAUGACAGUACCGGGAGAAUAAGCUCCGGCUAACUCCGUG